rnacentral:misc_RNA from 1 species
CGUCGCCACGACGUUCGCCGGAGUUCACAGUUGGACAUGCACUAGAAAAAGCGCAAUGGCGCUGCUCCCCUGGAAGGUGCCACGGCCAAAGGUUGAAGAAGACGUCUUCAAUGGGAGCGGUAUCAGCGGAGCGGUUAGCUGAUGGUUUGAAUUUGAAUGAUUUUGGUAUGGAUGCAAGUCAGGCGAUAUUCUGGGAUUCUCAUGCGGAUCCUGUGCUGGAAUCAAGGAAUGUUGGCUUAAUUAGUGCUUGUCCCCGUUGGAAUGGGAGGGCCCAACAUAUGAUUCUCAGUCCUAGGAUUCCUUAUAGGCCAACUGCUGGGCUGGCUUCCUUGUUCUCCCGCUCAGGCACCAGUUCUUCUGCUGCCAGGGCGGUUCACAUUUCCUCCCGGGGUGUGGCUCCUGGCACCUUCGUCGAGGCUGUAAGGAACGCAAUGGCGCCGGUUGGUGAUACUGGAGGGCGUGGAGGCAGUCGCGGCCAGCAUCAGUCCGAGGGCGCUGCAGGUUUUUCCACCGGUCAGCAACUGCUUGGGGGCACGGGAGGA